AUGUUCUUUCAGCUACUCAGACCUACAUUCUCUAUUGAAUACAUUAACAUACUCUCGUUUUUUUCCCUCUCUGCCGACAUUUCACCUCCAGGUUCAGCUUUCAGGCCUCUUUCCUCCCCUUUUUCUCCCUCUAUUUUUGGGCCAGACAAUUCACCUCUACCUCUCUCUCUCUCUCCCACCCCCUUAGAGUUUCUCUGUACUUCUCCAUCCCUCCAUCCUCAGGGUUUCUCUGUACUUCUCCAUCCCUCCAUCCUCAGAGUUUCUCUGUACUUCUCCAUCCCUCCAUCCUCAGUUUCUCUGUACUUCUCCAUCCCUCCAUCCUCAGGGUUUCUCUGUACUUCUCCAUCCCUCCAUCCUCAGGGUUUCUCUGUACUUCUCCAUCCCUCCAUCCUCAGAGUUUCUAUGUACUUCUCCAUCCCUCCAUCCUCAGGGUUUCUCUGUACUUCUCCAUCCCUCCAUCCUCAGAGUUUCUCUGUACUUCUCCAUCCCUCCAUCCUCAGUUUCUCUGUACUUCUCCAUCCCUCCAUCCUCAGGGUUUCUCUGUACUUCUCCAUCCCUCCAUCCUCAGGGUUUCUCUGUACUUCUCCAUCCCUCCAUCCUCAGAGUUUCUCUGUACUUCUCCAUCCUCAGAGUUUCUCUGUACUUCUCCAUCCCUCCAUCCUCAGAGUUUCUCUGUACUUCUCCAUCCUCAGAGUUUCUCUGUACUUCUCCAUCCCUCCAUCCUCAGAGUUUCUCUGUACUUCUCCAUCCCUCCAUCCUCAGGGUUUCUCUGUACUUCUCCAUCCCUCCAUCCUAAAUGUUUCUAUGUACUUCUCCAUCCCUCCAUCCUCAGAGUUUCUCUGUACUUCUCCAUCCCUCCAUCCUCAGGGUUUCUCUGUACUUCUCCAUCCCUCCAUCCUAAAGGUUUCUAUGUACUUCUCCAUCCCUCCAUCCUCAGGGUUUCUUGGGCCUCUCCAUCCCUCCAUCCUCAGGGUUUCUCUGUACUUCUCCAUCCCUCCAUUUUCAGAGUUUCUAUGUACUUCUCCAUCCCUCCAUCCUCAGAGUUUCUCUGUACUUCUCCAUCCCUCCAUCCUCAAGGUUUCUCUGUACUUCUCCAUCCCUCCAUCCUCAGGGUUUCUCUGUACUUCUCCAUCCCUCCAUCCUCAGGGUUUCUCUGUACUUCUCUAUCCCUCCAUCCUCAGGGUUUCUUGGGCCGUCCAUUGCGGGACAGGUUCUCCACAGUGUUACUGA
rnacentral:lncRNA from 1 species